ensembl:lncRNA
UCCUCUGGCAGAACAAAGCUUAGAAGCCACCUUCGCCCUGCCCUUGGAUCAGAAGCUGAUAGCUGUAUACCCGAGGGUGCCGGCUCUGGCUGGGACCACGGUGGCCCCACAGAGCUCCGGGAGCCAGCGCUGAGGCCACAUCCACUGUCCUGUGCAGCUGAGUUUGGGGAAAUAACACCAUUUUUAGCUCUGACGCAAAUAGGUGACUGAUCCUAGACUCUGGGAACCAGGUGGAUCCCAGCAUGUAGCAUGAACUGGAGCACAGACCAUCCAGGUCGUAAAGACCAUCUGGGUCGUAAAGCGACAGAUCCUGCUCAUUCUCACCUGGAGGUGGCGGCCCGGACCCCCUGACGAUUCUGCAGCCCCGCCCCGCAGGCUCUGGGGGUCAGGGUUUGCCUGUUCUGAGCCAGGAGCAGAGAGUGGGAGGUCACAGAAGGGGAGGAUGGAGUCUGGAAAGGAGGAAACACCUGGGGGAAGUGUUUCCAUUUUGCCUCUUUGGAGGCCAGGUGUCGGAAUGCCAAGAAAUGUGACCCAACAAGGUCACAGAGUAAAACAGUUCCUGAGUCUUUUCUGUGCAGGAAGACAGCGCAUCCCAACAGUCAGCGUGCUGAGAGCACGGCCUCUGCAGGCGGCUUCUCUGGGUCCAAAUCCCAGCCCACCACUCACCAGCUGUGUGACCUCGGGCUUUACGUAACCUCUCUGUGCCUCAGUUUGCUCGUCUGAAAAGCAAAGAUAAUGACAGUCCCUGUGGCACAGGACCAUGGAGCAGAUGAGGGCAGGAAGGUGCAGUGAAGUGCUCAGCAGGGUCGGCCCGUAGGACGCAGGGCUUAAAAUGUCAGAUGACGUCAUCGUCACCAUCACCAACACAAAUGCAUUUGAGGACACUCUGGUGACCUUCAUUCCUCACCCUGUCAGCUCCAUGCGGUGUUUUUGCUGGGAUCCCCUGGUUCAGACCUUUAUCCUGCAGAAAUGCAGGCUGAGAAGGAUGCCCUGAGGUCACCCCUCUCAUUGCCAUCACCAUGAGCAGCCUCAGUCAUCACUGAGGGCACAGCCAGUGCUUGCCCAUCAUCCCACAGAUGGCAGCACUCAACCAUUUGCAGAGCACGUGACUUCUCAUCCCCCUCCCAGCAUCAGCUGACCCUCAAUGCCCCUCCCUCAACCUAGCCUUCCUGCCUUCCCUUCCUGCUCAGGAGCCCCCCUCCUCCACGGGGGCACAGAGAGAAGAACCCUUUCAAUGCCUGAAUCAGAUCAUAGCAUCUGUUUGCAUAAAACCCUUUAGUGCCCCUCACACAGGGCAUGGGGCUGACGGGCCAGGCCCUGCCUCCUCUCAGACCCUGUCUCUGCCCACACUCCCCGCAGGCCAGCUGCCCGGCCCAUCACUGCUGCACCCCUACAUCCCUCAGGCUUGUCCCAGGUCAGGUCCCAACUCCAGGAAUGACCUUCCCUGAAUGCCUGCUGUCAGCUGCCUCCUCCUCAAGACAAGGCAGUUCAAGUGGCCCCUCCUGAAAAGGCCUCCCAUAUCCUCAGUCCGAAGCCAGCCACCCCUCCCACGUGUCAUGUCGGCUCUCCUUCCCUUCAGGAGACUCAUCGCAGUCUGACCACCACACUUACUUCAUGCACACAUUCACUAUCUCCCCCAUUCGAAUGCACGUUCCAGGAGGACAGAGACACUGGCCAGCACCGUGUCCCCGGCAUCCAGUAGGUGCUCAGUAACAUUUAUGAACAAAUGAUGACUCACAGCGGCCCAAGUUGGCGGGAGGGGGCAGUGUGCCGUUAUUAUAAUGGACGGUCGUAAUAACAGCAUCACCUCGUGUUUACAACCUGCCUUACAGCCUGCAGGUACUUAAGCAUCUGCCAGCCCUGAAGGGGAAAGAGAACACAAAUCUCGACAUUUAGCCAGAAUAGGGAGGAAGCGGAGAUUUAAGAAUGUGUGAGGGAUGCAUUUUCCAGCAUGGAGAGGGAGCAUAUGUUUCUUCCUGGUCUCAACAUAAAAAAGGGUGUUCAGACGAGGAAAAACCCUGAAAAGUCAACGCCUUUACCUGAAGAUUAGCCCACAGCAGAGUCUCAGGGAAUCUGCAGUAAUGGAAGCUUUAGGAUACUUAUUUAUUUUUUUAGAAGCAGGAUGAGAAAGAGCAGCGGGCCCUGAGCCCAGAGCUUAGGAAGGUCUGCCUGCAUCUGGCCACCUGACAGCAGCUCGGGGUGGGGGCAUCCCAAGGAGCCAGGCCCCACAGCCCUUUCUGCUCUCAGCUUAAAGAUAAGCAACCUUAUAUGGCUUGUCUCUCGAGAGCUAUUGGAAGCAAAGCUGCCUAUUACAGGCUAAAUCUCCAAGCGUCCCUACAGAAAUCUCUCCUCCUAAACCCAAACACCUGUUUCUAGGGAGGCCUCUUGACCAGACUCACCUGUGACCCUGAUUAGUGACCCGCUGACAACGAUGGGCUGACCUCGCAGGGCACUUAUCACCUGGCGCCUGGGGUCCCCAGUGCUCCGGUGCAUUAGCUCGUUUAAUCCUCACCUGGAUGCAGUCACAUGGCCCCUUCAGGAGCCCAGGGGCAGAGGGGGGCUGGGCAGGGACAACUCCCCUGGGGCCCCAGCGCUGACCCCUGACCAAGCCAAGCACUGGCUAUGUAGGUGCUUCUGACUCCUCUUCCCGGGAUCUCUCCUCAAGUGGACUGGUGACUUCCCUGGAGGACUUGGAAUUUUGGCUGAAGUCCCAAAGCUAGCAGUACUGGACCCCAAUCAUUCUAAAGAGAGUGCAGGAGACACCCGUGGGAGCCAGUGAUCACCACCCCCAUGGGAGAGAAGAAGGACGUGUGGAAGGAGACUCCCAGGAGGGGAUUCGCAACAGGAGACACUCUUCAGCCCAGAGCAAGAUGAAAAAAGGACUUUGCAGGUGUGAUCAAGCUAAGGAUCUUAGCUGGGGAGAUGAUCCUGGAUUAUCUGGGUGGGCCCAGUGUAAUCCCUGGCUCCUUAUAAAAGGGAGAAGGCCAAGUGAGAAGGGCUGCAGAGGUUAGACUGAUGCUGCCAAGAGAUGCAGACAGCCUCUAGAAGCUGCAAGAGGCAAGAAACAGAUUCUCCAUGGAGCCUUCUGGAGGAACCCGCCCGGAGACACCUGGAUUUUAGCCCCACAAGACUCAUUUCCAGUUUCUGCCCUCCAGAACUAUAGGAGAGUAAAUGUGUGUUGCUUUAAGCCACUAAAGUUGUGGUAAUUAACUACAGCUGCCUCGGAACACUAAUACCAUUGAACUUAUCCCUUACCAUUGAGAGCAUGAACUUGGCUCUCCUGGGGAUUCUUCUGGCCAGAAGUAAUACUGCUCUGAGCACAUUUACUGUUCCUUUAACAAGAGUUUCUGGGGCUGAUUCAGCAGCUCAGGCUAUUUCCCUCUUUCUCAUUCUUCAGGAUAGUAAAGUCUCUGCCCAGAAUCAAAAUAGGGCUGUCGUGGGACUGCCCUCGUAGUCCAGUGGUGAAGAAUCCACCUUCCAAUGCAGGCAAUGGGGUUCAAGUCCUGGCUGGGGAGCUAAUAUCCCACCUGCAGCAGAGCAACUAAGCCCACACCCCCAACUAGAGAGCCUGUGCACCCCAGUGAGAAGCCCUGGCACUGCAACUCGAGAAAGUCCACGCACCAGGGCGAAGACCCAACACAGCCCCCCCAAAAAAAAUAAGGAAUGUAGUGGGCUUCCUCAUGAGGGAAAGGGAAAUCAAAAACCACAAUGAGAUGUCACUUCAAACCCACUAGGGUGGCGACAAUAAUAAUACUUUUUUAAAAAACCAAAAAAAAAACGAAAAUAGGGACUUCUCUGGUAGUCCAGUGGCUAAGAUUACAAACUCCCAGUGCAGGGGAUCAGGUUCAAUCUCUGGUCAGAGAACUAGAUCCCACAUGCCACAACUAAGACUUCAAACUCCACAACUAAAAAACCCAUGUAGCCAAAUAAAUAAAUAUUAAAAAAUAAUGAUAAAUGUUCUAAAAAUAGGACCGUCAUAACCC